UCCGAAUUGGUGUAGGGGUUAACAUUUGACGCUUUCAUCUUCGUUUUCAAACGUAGAGAGUCCCGUCAGGCCCGGGGUUCGAUUCCCCGAUUCGGAG